GAGGGCAUUGUUCCCCUGUCGCCCCAGUGAAAACCAGGCGGGCCUUGAGCGCCCGCCUGGCUCCGGGGCCCAGGAGGGCGCUAAAGAUCACGGAAGGCUCGGGAAGGCUGUCCCGGCUCCCAGUUAUGUGGAAGAAGCAAAUGAGACCUUAUUCUCUUUGUGUGGAGGUUUUUUUAAGCCGUGGCGGCAAGCCGUAGGUGCACAACAGUUUCUGAGAAGAUACCGGAGAGUCACGACCCACUGAGUCAGAGCCCCACGGACCUGAUGCCUGGUGCUGCCUGCUGUUUCCGGCACUCCCAUCACCCCUGGCUACUGGACUGGGCUCACUCACUGAGCCCCACUGAAGGAUGCAGGUGCUCUGACAGGGCCUCUGAGGGAGACUGGGAGCGGUCAGAGAAGAACCUGUGGGUGUGGCUGGCAGAGAGCAGGUGGCAGCGGGCUGAGCUGGCUGGUCGCUUGCGGGCAGCACUGGAGGCCCUGUCUGAGCAAGCACAGCUGCUGCAGAAGCGGGAACGUGAUCUGGGACUCAGCAGGAUCCAGUGUGAGUUGCUGGCUCCGAAGCAGAAAGUGAGGCUCUGGUCCUCUCCUCGUGGUCUUCCUUGCUUGUCCACAGCCCCAGGGAGGUCCCCCGAGCUAGCAAGUUCCCCUUACUAGACUGAAAACCCCAGAAUGCUCAGGGCUGAUGCCCAUAUCUGGUGUCAUAUUCUCAGGAAGAAGGCUUGUCAGGGCCUGGGGCAUCCAAAGGAGACAGAGGGAAAUUGAGUCCCCAAGAGGGCUACCAUGUUGAAAGUGUCAUCUCUGUGAAUGGCACCCCCUGGAGGUGUGCAGUGCAUUGCCUGGUGUGGCUGGGAGCAGUGGAUAGAGGCAAAGGAAGGACCAGGGAACCUCUGCCCUUCCCUUCCCAGGUAGAAUAAGAGGGAAGGAGGUGGCUGGUUUUAGCUCAGUGGACAGAAGAGUUUCCUCCGAAGCCCAGUCACCCCUGGUGAAGCUUCAGUCCCCAGGGAGGGAGAGAGGGUUAUGCACACUGAGGCUUCUAGGGGAGGUACCCAGCAUCCCUGCCCCAUGUGAGAGUAUGGACAGUGCUACCCUGUGAUGGCCUAGAUACCUAAGCCUUUAUGUGACCUGGUGGUCUCAGCGCACAGCUGACCCUCCUAGAGCCACUGCUCCCUACCGGCCAGGGAGGACCCUGCGAACCCAGUUGACAUGCCUGCUCACUCUCCAGCAUUCCACAACAGCAGCCCCUGUACUCUUUUUUG